UACAGAGGGUGCGAGCGUUGUUCGGAAUUAUUGGGCGUAAAGGGCGCGUAGGCGGUGCGGUAAGUCACCUGUGAAAUCUCCUGGCUCAACUGGGAGCUUGCAGGCGAAACUGCCGUGCUGGAGUGUGGGAGAGGGUGCGUGGAAUUCCUGGUGUAGCGGUGAAAUGCGUAGAUAUCAGGAGGAACACCUGUGGCGAAAGCGGCGCACUGGACCACAACUGACGCUGAGGCGCGAAAGCUAGGGGAGCAAACAGG
rnacentral:rRNA from 1 species